AUGAACGCUGGCGGCGUGCCUAAUACAUGCAAGUCGAGCGAACAGACGAGGAGCUUGCUCCUCUGACGUUAGCGGCGGACGGGUGAGUAACACGUGGAUAACCUACCUAUAAGACUGGGAUAACUUCGGGAAACCGGAGCUAAUACCGGAUAAUAUAUUGAACCGCAUGGUUCAAUAGUGAAAGACGGUUUUGCUGUCACUUAUAGAUGGAUCCGCGCCGCAUUAGCUAGUUGGUAAGGUAACGGCUUACCAAGGCAACGAUGCGUAGCCGACCUGAGAGGGUGAUCGGCCACACUGGAACUGAGACACGGUCCAGACUCCUACGGGAGGCAGCAGUAGGGAAUCUUCCGCAAUGGGCGAAAGCCUGACGGAGCAACGCCGCGUGAGUGAUGAAGGUCUUCGGAUCGUAAAACUCUGUUAUUAGGGAAGAACAAAUGUGUAAGUAACUAUGCACGUCUUGACGGUACCAAAUCAGAAAGCCACGGCUAACUACGUG
rnacentral:rRNA from 1 species